rnacentral:rRNA from 1 species
CAGCAGCAGCCACGGUAAUACGAAGGGGGCUAGCGUUGUUCGGAAUUACUGGGCGUAAAGCGCACGUAGGCGGAUAUUUAAGUCAGGGGUGAAAUCCCAGAGCUCAACUCUGGAACUGCCUUUGAUACUGGGUAUCUUGAGUAUGGAAGAGGUGAGUGGAAUUCCGAGUGUAGAGGUGAAAUUCGUAGAUAUUCGGUGGAACACCAGUGGCGAAGGCGGCUCACUGGUCCAUUACUGACGCUGAGGUGCGAAAGCGUGGGGAGCAAACAGGAUUAGAUACCCCUGUAGUCCCUGUCUCUUAUAC